rnacentral:lncRNA from 1 species
GGAGGGCGGAGGCUUGAUCGCUGGCAACAAUAUUUACCACAAUGCAGAGGCUGGCGUGGACAUUCGGAAGAAAUCCAACCCACUCAUCCUGUGUAACCAGAUCCACCACGGUCUUCGAUCUGGCAUUGUUGUCCUUGGCAAUGGGAAAGGUGUCAUCAGGAACAACCAAAUCUUUUCUAAUAAGGAGGCUGGCAUUUAUAUCCUGUACCACGGAAAUCCGAUUGUGAGCGGAAACCACAUCUUCAAGGGGCGUGCAGCUGGCAUAGCAGUGAACGAGAAUGGCAAAGGCCUCAUCACAGGUAUAUGAUGGGGACCACUGGAGCCAUAGCCAGCCAGGGCAGGUGGCAGCCAAGCCAAGCCUGCCAUCACUCCACCACCUUCAGGCCCUUAUGCCACCCCUUUACCUACCCCAGACCUCCUUCAGUGAUUAGCAGGUAGGCAUUCAGGGUGCCAGUUCUAUAGGUGGGCCAUGCUUUUCAUAGGAAGACCCAGUAUAGCACGGUGGAGGGGCACCAUCUCUGCCAGCCUCUGGCUCACCAGAUCGCACUUCCAACUGCACCAAUUAAACAAGUGUCUGAGUUUCUCCAUACUUUUGUGUGGGCCUCUGCCAGCUCUGUGAAUCUGUCCGCCCAAUUCUUGUGUAUCUUUUAUCCUUACACCACUUCCUGAGGGAAGCCUGCCCUAACUCCCCUUGAACACAGAUAGUGUACACUGUGCACAGGACUCCUCCUCUGCUGAACAUCUGACAGUUUCUUAGCGCUUUCUUUCGUCUGCCUCCUCUGGUACCUCCUCAGGCAAGGAUCACACCUGCCUGGCAUGCCACUGGAGCCUGGGAUCGUGAUUGCAGAGUCAUCAUUUACCAAGUAUUCAUAGCUCAGCCAUAGCCCACGUGCUCAGCCUGUAUGUGGCCCUAGGUUAGAUCCUAGUGUUGAGAAGAAGAAAAACCAAACAGAACACUUAUUGAGCACCAA